AGUCUCACAGGCCCACACAGUUGUUAGCACUGCUUCUGGAGCUGCCAUGCUCGAAAGCAAGUGGCAAACCCAAGUUCUCUUGAUGCACACACUUUGGCCACAGCAGGCCUGUGUACUGCCAGACUGGGUGCCGGUGGAAGACUGUUGGUUAUGCCAUGAAUAGACUGAUUUGCUAAUGCAAAUUACACCAGUGACUUCAUGUUUAAAGUUUUCCAUUCUCUUCCUGUUGUGGAUCUUUAAAAUGAGAGAUCCUGACUCUUCUGCAAUUAACUUCAUUUUAUUGGUUAGACUGUACUGGCUGCUGCAUCUAGAUGAGGCAUUCUUCCUGCCUUUUGCCCUGGAGCCUGCUGACCACAGCUGGAAGAACACGGAUCGAGAAGCAACUUCAUAGAAAUCUCACUUUGGCUGUGAGGUGGCUCCCAUCGUGACACUUGUCUGCGUUGCUGGAGCAGGCUGCUACUGCCACUGCAGCACCCACCUGAUCCUGGGAGGGGUCCUGACAUCCAGUAGAGGAAAACUGCCUUUAUAAAGAAUAAACACCUGCUACUACUUAAUACAACCAUGUAUUUCAAGAGUUGGUGAGCAGCGAUUGUUAGCACACUUGGCUUGAUGCCCAGGAAGGCAACAAGGAAAUGACAAAAGGAAAUGAACACCGUGACAUUAUCUGUUGGAUUCAUCUGUUUCUUCCUCUGAAAUGUACCUCAGCAGGAUUUCAAGUAGCAACGACUUGUUCAAACCACCCACUUUUUGGCAAUGGAGGUAGAACCACAGCAACCUGGUGACCCUGGAUCACAUGUUGAGGGCCUACUCCCCACAUAAGGAGCCUAAGGAGCACCAGUGAUGGCAGUGGUUGGGACUCAGCGCAGCACUUUAUAAUGCCUGGAGAAGAGGACUGCUGACAUCAGAUCCGUGAUCCCCUUCAGGAGUCAGCUCUGGCAGGACAAGAAAAGAACAAAGCUGGAGAAGUUUCUGCACUUCAUCCCUUCCU